UUAAAAUCACUAACAAGAUUUUGCAUAUUUCUGUUCACCCAGCAUUAUUUUUCAGCCUGAAAUGAGUGAAGAAUUCUGGUGUUUACUGAAAAUAACUACUAAAUCUCCCAAAACAAAAGAAAUACCAGAAAUACACUGUGACCUUGGAAAAUAUGCCAUUCAGACCAUUCCUUUACAUAAUCCUACUAAUGAAACCUUAGAAUUGCAAGUAAGAAACAAUAAUCCUGGAAAUUUUGUCGUGGAAAUGAAUGAGUCAUCAUCACUGGUUGUACUUCCUCACUGCACCAAAGAGAUAUCAGUUUGCUUUUAUCCUUCUGGGCUUGGAAGAACUGGUCAUGAAACUUGCAUCAACUUCUACUGUACUCAGUUUGAAGAAUGGAAAUUCUACCUCCGUGGAGUGGGACUAUUUCCCCACCCUAUAGACUUAGAAGAAAUGACCACAUGCCUUGAUCUGGAGGCAUCCAUCACCAUACCAUUCAAAAAUCCUACCAAGGAAGAUGUUUCUGUCAAUAUCAUUCUAACAAAUGAAACAAAGCCUACACACCUCUUCAUUGACCAAUGCUGGGAUAGCUUCAUGAAUGAGAAUUCUGCUUUCCGACUUGUUUCUCCAUGGCAUACACAAGGAAUUGUGUUAUCUCCUGAAGGAAAAAUAGACAUCCAGGUGUUAUUUAAACCCCAGUGUAUGACAUUAUGCAAAACAAUGGUCAUCGUUCAAAUCAUGAGAAAAAAUGGAAAAAAUUGGCCUAUUGACAACUUCAAAGAAUUAGAUACAGAGUUUAAAAG
rnacentral:lncRNA from 1 species